UACAGAGGGUGCUAGCGUUGUUCGGAAUCAUUGGGCGUAAAGAGCGUGUAGGCGGCUUGGUAGGUCCGCUGUGAAAACUCGAGGCUCAACCUCGAGAUGUCGGCGGAAACCACUUGGCUAGAGUCCGGAAGAGGAGAGUGGAAUUCCCGGUGUAGCGGUGAAAUGCGCAGAUAUCGGGAAGAACGCCUAUGGCGAAGGCAGCUCUCUGGGACGGUACUGACGCUGAGACGCGAAAGCGUGGGGAGCGAACAGG
rnacentral:rRNA from 1 species